rnacentral:rRNA from 1 species
GGGUUGUGAGGUUAAGCGACUAAGCGUACACGGUGGAUGCCCUGGCAGUCAGAGGCGAUGAAGGACGUGCUAAUCUGCGAUAAGCGUCGGUAAGGUGAUAUGAACCGUUAUAACCGGCGAUUUCCGAAUGGGGAAACCCAGUGUGUUUCGACACACUAUCAUUAACUGAAUCCAUAGGUUAAUGAGGCGAACCGGGGGAACUGAAACAUCUAAGUACCCCGAGGAAAAGAAAUCAACCGAGAUUCCCCCAGUAGCGGCGAGCGAACGGGGAGCAGCCCAGAGCCUGAAUCAGUGUGUGUGUUAGUGGAAGCGUCUGGAAAGGCGCGCGAUACAGGGUGACAGCCCCGUACACAAAAAUGCACAUAUUGUGAGCUCGAUGAGUAGGGCGGGACACGUGGUAUCCUGUCUGAAUAUGGGGGGACCAUCCUCCAAGGCUAAAUACUCCUGACUGACCGAUAGUGAACCAGUACCGUGAGGGAAAGGCGAAAAGAACCCCGGCGAGGGGAGUGAAAAAGAACCUGAAACCGUGUACGUACAAGCAGUGGGAGCCUCUUUUAUGGGGUGACUGCGUACCUUUUGUAUAAUGGGUCAGCGACUUAUAUUCUGUAGCAAGGUUAACCGAAUAGGGGAGCCGAAGGGAAACCGAGUCUUAACCGGGCGUUAAGUUGCAGGGUAUAGACCCGAAACCCGGUGAUCUAGCCAUGGGCAGGUUGAAGGUUGGGUAACACUAACUGGAGGACCGAACCGACUAAUGUUGAAAAAUUAGCGGAUGACUUGUGGCUGGGGGUGAAAGGCCAAUCAAACCGGGAGAUAGCUGGUUCUCCCCGAAAGCUAUUUAGGUAGCGCCUCGUGAAUUCAUCUCCGGGGGUAGAGCACUGUUUCGGCAAGGGGUCAUCCCGACUUACCAACCCGAUGCAACUGCGAUACCGGAGAAUGUAUCACGGGAGACACACGGCGGGUGCUACGUCCGUCGUGAGAGGGAAACAACCCAGACCGCCAGCUAAGGUCCCAAAGUCAUGGUUAAGUGGGAAACGAUGUGGGAAGGCCCAGACAGCCAGGAUGUUGGCUUAGAAGCAGCCAUCAUUUAAAGAAAGCGUAAUAGCUCACUGGUCGAGUCGGCCUGCGCGGAAGAUGUAACGGGGCUAAACAAUGCACCGAAGCUGCGGCAGCGACACUGUGUGUUGUUGGGUAGGGGAGCGUUCUGUAAGCCUGUGAAGGUGUACUGUAAGGUAUGCUGGAGGUAUCAGAAGUGCGAAUGCUGACAUAAGUAACGAUAAAGCGGGUGAAAAGCCCGCUCGCCGGAAGACCAAGGGUUCCUGUCCAACGUUAAUCGGGGCAGGGUGAGUCGACCCCUAAGGCGAGGCCGAAAGGCGUAGUCGAUGGGAAACAGGUUAAUAUUCCUGUACUUGGUGUUACUGCGAAGGGGGGACGGAGAAGGCUAUGUUGGCCGGGCGACGGUUGUCCCGGUUUAAGCGUGUAGGCUGGUUUUCCAGGCAAAUCCGGAAAAUCAAGGCUGAGGCGUGAUGACGAGGCACUACGGUGCUGAAGCAACAAAUGCCCUGCUUCCAGGAAAAGCCUCUAAGCAUCAGGUAACAUCAAAUCGUACCCCAAACCGACACAGGUGGUCAGGUAGAGAAUACCAAGGCGUUUGAGAGAACUCGGGUGAAGGAACUAGGCAAAAUGGUGCCGUAACUUCGGGAGAAGGCACGCUGAUAUGUAGGUGAAGUCCCUCGCGGAUGGAGCUGAAAUCAGUCGAAGAUACCAGCUGGCUGCAACUGUUUAUUAAAAACACAGCACUGUGCAAACACGAAAGUGGACGUAUACGGUGUGACGCCUGCCCGGUGCCGGAAGGUUAAUUGAUGGGGUCAGCGCAAGCGAAGCUCUUGAUCGAAGCCCCGGUAAACGGCGGCCGUAACUAUAACGGUCCUAAGGUAGCGAAAUUCCUUGUCGGGUAAGUUCCGACCUGCACGAAUGGCGUAAUGAUGGCCAGGCUGUCUCCACCCGAGACUCAGUGAAAUUGAACUCGCUGUGAAGAUGCAGUGUACCCGCGGCAAGACGGAAAGACCCCGUGAACCUUUACUAUAGCUUGACACUGAACAUUGAGCCUUGAUGUGUAGGAUAGGUGGGAGGCUUUGAAGUGUGGACGCCAGUCUGCAUGGAGCCGACCUUGAAAUACCACCCUUUAAUGUUUGAUGUUCUAACGUGGACCCGUGAUCCGGGUUGCGGACAGUGUCUGGUGGGUAGUUUGACUGGGGCGGUCUCCUCCUAAAGAGUAACGGAGGAGCACGAAGGUUGGCUAAUCCUGGUCGGACAUCAGGAGGUUAGUGCAAUGGCAUAAGCCAGCUUGACUGCGAGCGUGACGGCGCGAGCAGGUGCGAAAGCAGGUCAUAGUGAUCCGGUGGUUCUGAAUGGAAGGGCCAUCGCUCAACGGAUAAAAGGUACUCCGGGGAUAACAGGCUGAUACCGCCCAAGAGUUCAUAUCGACGGCGGUGUUUGGCACCUCGAUGUCGGCUCAUCACAUCCUGGGGCUGAAGUAGGUCCCAAGGGUAUGGCUGUUCGCCAUUUAAAGUGGUACGCGAGCUGGGUUUAGAACGUCGUGAGACAGUUCGGUCCCUAUCUGCCGUGGGCGCUGGAGAACUGAGGGGGGCUGCUCCUAGUACGAGAGGACCGGAGUGGACGCAUCACUGGUGUUCGGGUUGUCAUGCCAAUGGCACUGCCCGGUAGCUAAAUGCGGAAGAGAUAAGUGCUGAAAGCAUCUAAGCACGAAACUUGCCCCGAGAUGAGUUCUCCCUGACCCUUUAAGGGUCCUGAAGGAACGUUGAAGACGACGACGUUGAUAGGCCGGGUGUGUAAGCGCAGCGAUGCGUUGAGCUAACCGGUACUAAUGAACCGUGAGGCUUAACCUUACAACGCCGAAGCUGUU